ensembl:lncRNA
CAGGAUGUCUGUGAUGAUCAUUCGAGUCUUACUUCCUCGUUUAAUAAUAGAAAAUAAGAACAAACGUUCUUUAAAUGAAAAAUGGUGCAGUAUGAUAGGAGUUUUGAGUAUAAAACAUAAAACAUACCUACGUCUAAAUAAACGCCUAUGCAGAACAUUCACAAAUGCAGCGUUCUCCUGAAAAGUAUUUCCACAUAAACACGAUGCUUGAGACAAUCGUUCGCGUCCAUAAAAAGUCGUUAAGAGUGCGAAAAAUGCCUCAGCAGGCUACUGUCGUAACCUACACGUCAUUUUGAUUAAUGUCUCAUAAUAUACAAAAAUCCGAAAGUCGUGUCGCUCUCCAGGAAAGCGUUUCCACAAGCAAGACAUUUGCGACGAUCGUUCGAGUCCAUAAAAAAGUCCUUAAGAGUAAUAAAGAUCCCUCAGCGGUCUGCACGUCAAACGCGCUGACGAACCGAUCAAAUGUAGCGUCAACGCGUCAGCAUUUGCCUCACAAGCUCCAAACACGCGCGUUAAUUUUGCAUGCUGUGGGUGGCCGGGGGAUUCAAAGCGAGCGCGUUCUAGAUCGUAACGAGGGUCGCCUUCAGCGAGUCUAACCCCAUGUUGACCUGGAAACGGGUUUCAUGGAGCUUUUGCAUCAUUUUCUCAAGGUAUAAGGACGACGCGCCACUCGCUCGCGCUUCCCAUCACCACUGAGAGCGCGCAGACUGAGGAAUCCUCAUUUUAAGCUACUUGAAGGAAUAACUUUCACAAAACACUUAAAACAUUAUCUUUCGUCAUGUAUGAAAUAUUCAACGGGAAAGGACAACUUCUUUGCAGAAUAAUAGGUUGGGGUCUUUUUUUUUUUUAGCCAUUAACCAUUUACUCGUUGAAGGACAAGGUUGAAGGAGAUUAUGCAGAAUCAACGAAGACAUCACUCUUAUACAAAUAAUCACAUUUUAACCAUCACCAUCACUAGGAGGGUGAUAAUGGUGGUCCAGGACCUCAAACCCCCGGGACAAACCUCUGUGGUUAUCUCAUCCGAACUACACUCAUCUAUAACUAGCCGUGCGCGCCACAAAAUCACGUGUUCCCUUUUCUGAUCACGUCGUGAGAUAUCCUCUAGCUUCUGCUGAUAAGAGAUGAGGAGACCGAGCGAAAACAUCCUUCGUGUGUUGACCCGUGCCUCACGACUCCAAGAGCUAGAGAGAAGGAGAUAUAUAGCCUAUCUUUAAUAUUGUCUUAAUGUGAUCAACUUUCCUGACUGGGCAACAUUAUGAAUCUAUGAGGUCACCCAGUCUGCGCAUGUCAAUUACCUCCUGUGAUAUUUUGCACACUUGUGUGUCCACUGGCCUCGCCGCCCCCCCUUUCUGAUGGACUGGAGUCAAUUAAGAGCAUACCAGAGCUUUCAACGAAAAGAAGAAGAACAAGAGACGGGAGUCAGUGACCUCACAGCAAAAGACCGAAUCAGGUAGAGGGAGGCAUGUGCGACUGAAGUCUGAGCAAGACAUGAUGGAUUUCCCGGUUGCGGGUUUGAUGAUAAAUAUGAAAAGACCAUUUAUUAAAGCUUGGCUGAAUGCAGCAAUGCUCCUUCAAAGAUCUGUCUCCUUGUCUUCAGGUCAGCCGCAUCACCAGGACCCAUCACAUGUAGGUCAGGUGACCUUCAGAAAGAUGGAAACGUAUUGCUUCAUUGCCUCAUGAGGUCCCACACUGAACCCUGGUCCUGCUACAUUUCCCACCCGAACGCGAGGCUCUGAAUGGAUGAAUGGCCGCCGUUUGUGAAGACACAUAUCAGCUCAGGACAAGGGCACUCUGUUUAAGAGAGCUGUUUUAUAGACCUGAAAGACGCAAAAAGCAGAGAUUAAGUGAUAGUGGGAGCUUCCCACAUCAUGGAUGGAUGGAAAACCACAGGGAAGACAUUCAUGCCACAGCUGGUGCUGAAGAUUGUUGGUGGGAAACAAAUUAAGCAUUUUACUAAUGGGAAAAAAAGUCCUACAGAUCAUCUUAAGGUAACAAACUGCUCGGAGCACAGACACAGUCCACCUAACAGAGUCACAGAUGGAGAUUCAAGCAGAAAAUCACCUUCUCAUGACCUGGAGCAUCUGAGACCAGUUGAGCACACAGAAAACCUUUUAGAUGCCCUCAGACAGGUUCCUGACAGACGGUGUGUGACGGCACCAUGUGGAGAUCGAUCACGAUCCUACAUACAUCUGAAGUCCACAAUCAACAUGAGUUACACAAAACAACUCAUGCAAAAUCCUCAUAUUACGGAGGCACAGACAGAGGAGCCAAUUAAAUUCAGUCCAGAGUUCUGCCUCCUCUCGUCCGUCUCAGAGGAACUGCAGGAUCUGGAACCACAAACAUUCCAGAUCAUCGAGGAGGAAGUGACAUCACUCGAUCCGUCCCGAUCAGGAACCAUCCAUCAGUCAGAACUCACAUGUCUCUUCCUCAGACUGCAGCUCCCUCUGAAGCUCACUACAUUGGCCUGUAUGUUCCAAUCCUUCAGUAACACCACUGACCCAGAGAAGGUGCACUAUCAAGACUUGAUGCAGUUCAUACAGAAAGCUGUACAAGAAGAAAAACAGCAAAGUGUUGAGGGCGAGAUCUGGGGUGGGUCAGUGGCCAGUACUGACCUGGAAUCAGUGAGUGACAGGAGCGAUGCCAAUGCAGAACAAAGAGAAACAUGGCUUCAGAGGUUCCAGAAGAUGGAGAUGGCCUUACAAAUGUGUGACACCCAAAACGCAGGUUAUGUGGACAGAGACCUAGCCAAACGCCUGCUACAGAACUACAGCCUCAUCUUUGAUCUGAAUCUGAGUCCUCUGAAGGUCAGCGAGGUCACGCGUAACACUCAGAUAGAGGGCAAAGUUCACCUCGCAUCAGCUCUGCAGAAACUGAAGGAACUAAACACAGCUUAACCUUUUUCUUAAACCGAAGCAAAUGCUACAGCAUUGCAGUCAUCUUUAAUAAAUGCUCUGCCUGGGAAAUAUUAACAGUAACAAAAAAAUAAUAAUAAUAAUUAAAUUUUUUCAACAUUGAAAACUGAGUGACGCUCAUAUAAACAGGUCAUGUUUGCUCCAAAAAU